UAUGGUCAAAUCACACUGAAAACACCAGCUCUUGUUUGAUCACCGAAGUUAAGCAGUGUUGAGCCUGGUUGGUACUUAGUUGGGAAUUGUUUGGGAACAUCAGGU